GUCCCUGGUGAUUUGAAGAAAAUAUGAUCUGUUUGUCCUAGAGGGGGAAGAAGGAUCACUCUGUGUUUACAAACCAGCCUGGCUAAUCCCUUCUGACAAUAUGGGAAGUCAUUCUGCUCGGCUGAAGUAUUAUUUCAAGGCUCCCUUAAGGAAGAACUAUCUUCUACUCAAUUAAAGCAGAGCCUGAACUUGCUCUGACCCCAUCAUUCCACGGCCAGGAAAGCAGGCUUGGCUCCUUCCAGCGGGGUGGCUGCCCGGGCUCCAGGCCGAGUGCUGUUACAUCAGGACGUCUCAAGCAUUUACUGGGGCAAGAUGGACAUUGGAAGCCCAGGUCAGUUUAACAAACCCAGAACAGAUGGAAGGAAGUCUUCUGAUUGGCCUGGCUUAAGUCGUGUGCCCGUGAUGGAUCCAAUCAUGUGGUUAGGUCAUCUGGCCAGAUCCAGCCCCUUGGACAUAGAGCUGUGAGAAAACAUUCGUCCUUUUAGAUCCAACUCGUGGUGCAACCCUCAGGAAAUUUCCCUCUGCAUGCUGCCCAAGUUGGCCAGACAACGUAUCCUCUGAUCAGGGGGGUCACACAUCAUCCCAAGAGAAUGGUUAUUUUUUUCUGAAGGCUGUAGGGCAGUAGAAGGAGAGGGAGGAGGCUUAAAAUAAAAUACACACACACACAGUAGACCA
ensembl:lncRNA